AGGCGAGGCUUUCUCGCGUCAUUAGAGUUUUGAUUAGUUUGAGAGCUAAUGAGCUUUUAAACGAGCUUAUCAGUUAUCUACAAAUUCAUAUGUAUGUCGACGACCAUCAUAGCUGGGACUUUUAAACUGUCUGGAAAGCAUCUACGAUUCAUCUCAUGCCGAGCUCCCAAUUCUGAACAUCCCAGUAUUAGCCAGUGUACUAUUAUCAAAACUAAAGAUUAAAGGAGACCUUCUUAAAAACAGUUAGACCGAGACCAGCAUACAUAAGCCUAGAAUAUGCCACCAAAUCGAUAUUGUGAUACUAUAUCUGCACCCAAUUCUGCUUACCUCCUUCUAAGCUUUGUAAACUAAUUUCGCAUUUGAUUCCGUUAUUAUAGAAAUUUAUUUUUAAUAAGUUUUGCGAAACUUAUGCCAAUUUUACAGCAAAUGUCAAGCUAUCUUCGCCAGUUUUACGUCAAACCAGUUUUCUAAAAUGUCAAUUUCCGUCACCUAGUGGUCGUUUUUCAGUAUUGAAGAACUUUAUUAAGCUUUGGCUCAAACUUUCCGAUGAGCUUUUGGUAAAUAAGCUUUUGGUAGAUUAGCUUGCAGUCGAAAUUUGAAUGGAGGGGAAAUUUCUUAAAUAGCGGUAAAUAUGUAUCAAUGUACUCCUCGUGUAAAAUACAUAUAUAUUUUACUUUACUUGUCUCCCGAACCCCUAUCAACAGCGACUUUUGGAGCGGAGACAAGCGCUCCGGUACGUAAUUGACUCUCGCAGAGAAAAUGGCAUACAAGGCCAACAAGUACCUCCGCCAAAAAUUAAAUUUUAAAAAUAGAAGUAUAUACAUAUAUAAAUAUAUAUGUAGGAGGACUACUAUCCGAAGGACACCAGUAAAGUCGCCAUAUGGCAGUAGGACUUUGAGGAAUGGCAGUGCAGUGCGAGUGCUGCUGCUGAUUGAAAGCGCAAAGGGAUUGAUCGUAUUCUUGACUAUUGCAGUUCAUAUAAAACUAAUCUUGUGUGCAUGGGAUAUAUGAAUCCGGUAAUGCAUUAAGCCUUGGAGAUGGUAUAGAAGGUGCUAAUCGAUUUAUAUCCAAUAUUCGGUAAAUUUUCAAUCCAAAAGCGAAUCCAUGAAGAGAUUUCUCAAGAAUUCACAAGCUGAAGUUAGUUUUUAAUUGAAUCUCAAAGUUGCUCACUUUAGUUUUUCCCAUAUAAAAUGUUGUCCUGAUCAAGGAUGCUUUUGAAUAAAAUAGCUAAAUUUACAACCCUAUGUAGUAAGAGUUUUUUAUUUGUGGCGUUAAAAAAAUUACUGUCGUAUUCCAAGAGAUAUACAUAAUAAGCGUACACCGAACAUUAGCCCGAUAUUCCAUCUAUAACGCAGCCUUCAUCAAGAACCAGGGACCGAAAAUAAUAGCUAUAAGCUAAAAAAAAUUCCCACCCGGAACAGCACACAUAUGCUGAGUGCCAGUGUUUACCUGAAACGUGAGCCAAUUAUCGGAAUGGAAAUUGGGGAUUUUACCGUGUGCCUUCGCCUUCGACAGGCUCCUUCUUCAUUUCGAGCUCAAGAAGAUUCAAGUUGAUAAUCUGAUUUCAAAUCGCCAGCUCGCAACGUAAUAAUCAUCAAUAACUAUCCAGCCAGCCAGCCAGACAGACAGACUGACAGACAGACGGAUAGACAGACAGCCAGACAACGUCAUUAUAUAAAAACAGGAAACGCAACUUGGCUGCAAUUUCUAUUCAUAAGGCGACUAAGCCGCUUAGCUCCGUCUUCCCCAGGCCGCAGCCGUACCCACAGAAAUCCGGACAAAUUGGCUGCACACGAAUGCCAGAAGGAGGACAAUACCAAUCAAAACGUCAAAAUCAAAGUCUCCAGACAAUGAAACUAACGUGUGAAAGAAUUACGACUUUGAUUUCGGGAAUAUUUCAUAAUUCUCUUAAUAUCCAUCAGUCGUGGAACUAUUCAAAAUGACUCAAUUUUAUUUUUCCAGUUUAUUUCUUAUUUUCCUUUGUUUGCUGGCUGUCAACAGCUACUGUGAUGGAUGCGGACUACCUAGCUGCUACCUAGCUCUGCCUUUUUGCUUUAUCGGAAACUCUCGUUGCCUGCUUUUUGUAUGGGAUAUUUCUUUCGGCGGUUGUGGUAAAUGCAGUUCUGUACAAAAACAACAAACUUCGAAUUGAUAGGAAAGCAGAAGAUUUCAUUUGAGGGCAUGGCGCCGCGAACAGCUUGGGUGGCAGUGGCAUCGGACCAACAGCUAUCAGCGGGCGGUCACUCUAAUUUUUUACGUGACAGAAGCGUUAACAAAGGAACUACACGGAAAGAUACCAAAGAGGGGCCGAAGAGGGGCCGA